UAGCCCAGGGGAUAGAUUGCACACCUCAGCCCUUCUAGUCUGGGGUACCAGGCAUAAGAUAGAGACCAGGCCUAGGUCUUGGAUCUUAUAAUUGGAAGAGAAGUGACCUGCUUCUUUGCCUUAGAUUUUUUUUUUUUUUUAAACAAGGUCUCACUCUGUCAUCCAGGCUGGAGCUGGAGUUUGGUGGAAUGACCUCGGCUCACUGCAGCCUCAACCUCCCCAACUCAGAGAUCCUCCCAGGUCAGCCUUCUGAGUAGCUGGGACUACAGGUGCACACCACCACGCCCAGGUAAUUAUUUAAUUUUUGCAGUGACGGGGGUCUAGCUAUGUUGCCCAGGCUGGUCUCAAACUCCUGGACUCAAGUGAUCCUCCCACCUUGGCUUCCAAAGUGCUGGGAUUACAGGCAUGAGCCACCCUGCUGGCGGGGCCUUUUUUUCAGAAUGAUUAUUUUCUAUUGUUGAGAUGUAGCUGAUGUGAGCUGGCUUCUUGGUAGUCUUGAAAUAGCCUGUAUUUUUUACUACAAGCAAGUUAUGUCAGACCAAUUUUAAUUUUUCCUCUCCCAAGAAACACAAGCAGUCCAUGAAUGAAAGCAGCCAAGGGGCCCUGAAGAGGUAAUACAGAUUGUAGACCACUUUAGUAAAUACCAUGAGUUUGUUUUCAUGUAUCUAAUUUACCUUCAUCUUUACCAAGAACUUUUUUGUUUAAAACACUCUUGCCCUGCACUAAGAUUUUCAAUAUAUUUCCGUCCCUUUUCUGAGCUAUUAGCCUCUCUUCUCUGAGACGGAGUCUCGCUGUUACCCAGGCUGGAGUGCGGUGGUGCGAUCUCGGCUCACUGCAACCUCUGCCUCCUGGGUUCAAGCUCUCCUGCCUUAGCCUCCUGAGUAGCUGGGAUUACAGGUAUGCACCACCAAGCCUGGCUAAUUUUUGUAUUUUUAGUAUAGACGGGGUUUUACCAUGUUGGUCAGGCUGGUCUCAAACUCCUGACCUUGUGAUCCACCCACCUCGGCCUCCCAAAGUGCUGGAAUUACAGGCAUUAGCCACCACGCCCAGCCCUAUCUUCUUACCAAUUUUAAUGUGCCGUACUGUAUGUGAUUAUCCCCAACCAAUUGUUUAAAUCAUAUAGUCUAGCCUAUUAUGUGAAUGGGCACCUACCUAAAUCUUGAAACUCUUCACCUAGGUUGCAAUUAUAUUCCCCUCUCCUUUAAAAAUCCUUAUAUGUCUCAUUGAUUGUUCUUCCAGAUUCAUUUACCAACCACCACACUCUAUUAGAAGCCAGAGUUUAUGGGGUUAGAGCUGGAAAACUGACAAAGUAAAUUUCCUUUAGUACCUCUCAUAACAUCCCAAGUCAAUAUGAUGUUUCAUGUUAAGCAGUGCAAUCACAGCAAGUAAUAAGAUUCUACAUACCAAACCACAUUUAGCUUGUUGUCUUCGAGUUUUUGGUAGAGCCUAGUGCUGGGGGUGGCAGGAAGAGAGAGGGGACACAGCAUGGCCAGUGCUAUAUAGCAUGGAAUGCUUUUAACAGAGAACAAAGUGUUUGUAUGAAAAGGCAGGAAUCCGGGGCUCAGUAGGUGUUGAGUAACUGAAUUGCUAUGAAUGAUUUUCCGUCAAAAUCUAAAUAACAUUCCAGCCUUUGCCAGCUUCAUAGGGGAAUUAGAUAGUAGGAAUGCACUGAGUUUGUGCUCCUGGGAAGACUCCACGACUGGGGGAAGGAAGGCAACAGAAAUGAGGGCAGGGAUGUUGUUUAUCUCCGUCCAAGCACAGGAGGCCCCGGGUGGGAUGACCUCCAUUUACUGGUGGCCCAAAAGCACACCUAUGCCUUCAGGAUGAAGUGUGCUCUGCUCCUCACCCAAAGGUUUAUUUCUGGAAACCUUUAACUGAAGUACAUGCACAUUCAGAAGAAUACAUGUAUCCUGAACAUGCAACUCACUGGACUGUCACAAACUGACCAUACCUAUGCAACCAGCACCAGGUUAAAAAGAUAUUAUUUUAUUUUAAUUUAUUUAUUAUUAUUAUUUUGGAGACAGGGUCUGGCUCUGUCUCCCAGGCCGAAAUGCUGUGUCAUGAUCUUGGCUCACCGCAACCUCCACCUCCCGGGUUCAAACGAUUCUCCUGCCUCAGCCUCCCGAGUAGCUGGGAUUACAGGCGUCCGCCACUAUGCCUGGGCUAAUUUUUGUAUUUUUAGUAGAGACAGGGUUUCGCCACAUUGCUCAGGCUGAUCUCGAACUCCUGACCUCAAGUGAUCCACCUGCCUCGGCAUCCCAAAAUGCUGGGAUUACAGAUGUGAGCCACCGCGCCCAGCUAAAAAGAUAUUUUAAUAAUAUGAAUGCAACUCUGCAUGUGCAUGAAAUGCAAAGGUGACAGGGUGUUAUGAAAAUGUCUCCCUUCCCUCUAUUUUCUAGUCACCUAGAUUUCCUAACUAUUAAGAAAAAAAAAUUGUCAUUAGUUUCUUAACCAAUGGGUUUUAAACCAGACUUCCUGACAUCUGUAAGAUCUUGGCUUGGGCUCGUGGCCUCGGUGAGGCUGGAAGGGUCUUUGUGUGAGCUCAGGACGGCGCUGGACAGGUGGGCCCUGGCUCCAGCUCCGGCUGCAGCGUCCUCCCCGCGCUCCCGAGCCUGUCCCUCGGGCGCCGGCCUGGGCUGUCCAGCGAGAGCGGGCGGAGGGGCAGGGCCCCGGGCUAGGUCCAGGCCCGCAGCUGGCAUCAGGGGGGGCCCGGGUGGGAAGACCGGUUGGGGUGGGGGUGCACAGACCCGGGGAAUCUGAGACGCAAGGUUUCCGGCUCUUGGCCGCUAGUGAGGAAGGCUCGAGGCCGAUCCUGGCCCAAAGCAGGGCGCCGGGCCAUUGUCAGUCCUGGGAAGGGGGAUUGGGAGGAGCCCGAGAGGGGCGGCCAUUCCCUGGGGCGGCGUGGAAGGGAGGCAGCACCUCCAGGCGACGAGUAGAGCUGGGCCCUGGCGGGCUGCCACUGGGGUGUCUGGCAGUCUCUCCUGGGUCUAGGGCUGUUCCUCUGAGGUCUCGAGGUGGUCCUUCGGGUGUGUCUGGGGUAAGCCCCUCUAGAAUCUGGGGGCGGCCUCCCGGGGGCCAUACUGCAUCACGUAGUGGAGUUGGGAAGAUAAAACCAGCACGUGUAAUGUAAUACAUGACAAUGGAAGAUUCUACAUAAUUAAGGGUUAACUCAAAUCAGAAGACAAGUUUUCCAAGACUUGGGAAGGUGGAGAGAUCAGAGAUCAGUGAGAGAACAAAGAAUCGGAUGGAGUUUGGCUCUUGUCGCCCAGGCUGGAGUGCAAUGGUGCGAUCUCGGCUCACCGCAACCUCCACCUUCCGGGUUCACGUGAUUCUCCUGCUUCAGCCUCCCAAGUAGCUGGGAUUACAGGCGCCCACCAUCUCGCCCGGCUAAUUUUUUAUUUUUAGUAGAAACGGCAGUUUCACUAUGUUGGUCAGGCUGGUCUCGAACUCCCGACCUCAGGUGAUCCGCCUGCCUCGGCCUCCCAAAGUGCUGGGAUUACAGGCGUGAGCCACGGCACCCAGCCUGAUUAUGGUCGUUUAAUCAGCCCUGCAAUCCCCACUCCAUAAUGCCACCCUGCCAAGCUUCCUGAGCUGCUGUCUUUAAUGUUAGAUGCUGGGGCAGGCAGAAUAGUGCCCCCCAGAUAGCCAUGUCCAACUCCCCAAGCCCUGCCAAUAUGUUACCUUUCAUGGCAAAGGGGAAUCAGGGUUGUAGAUGGAACUGAUGUUGCUGUGGAAUAACAAGAAAGAUAUUUGGUCGUUGUCCUUAGUUUCUGGCACAAAGCUCUAAACCCUUGGAAUUUUGAGCAAUAGAGUGUUAAGAGCCUCUUUUGUUUUAGUGAGGCAACUCUUGUACUUAGCUUCAGGGUGGGAGCUGGCUGCCAGAAAGACCAAGCUUGAUUAGAAGAUCAGCAUUUCCUGCACCCCCUCCCCCAACCUCCAGGGAAGGGAGAGUGGCUGGAGAUUGAGCUGAUCACCAGUGGCCACAGUCAAACCUAUGGACUGAAGCCUCCAUAGAAGCCCCUAAAUGAUGGGGUUCAGGGAGCUUCCAAGUUGGCAAACACAUCCUCAUCCCAGAGGGUGGUGCACCCCAUCUUGACUGAGACAGUGGCUUCUGCACUCGGGACUUACUUGUCCUGGGUACUUCUUCAUCUGGUUGUUCAUUUGUACUCUUUAUAGUAAACGGUAAGAGUAAGCACAGCUUUUCCUGAGUUCUGUGAGUCAUUCUAGCAAAUUAUUUAACCUUGGGGUAAUGAGGUAGUUGAAACCUCUUUGUAGGAACUUUCCUUUGUAGGUCAAUCAGCAGAAGUUAGGCUAACCUGGGAACCCAGUCCUUUCUUUGGUGUCUAAGGACAGUCUUGUGUGACUGUCAGGUAGUGUCAGAAAGGAAUUGAAUUGUAGGACACCAAGCUGGCAUCAGAGAGUUGGAGAAGUGGUGUUGGAAAAGACACGGUUGAUGUCAAGAGGAAGAAAAAACCCUCAGUUGUUUUUUUUUUUUCUUUUUGAGAUGGAGUUUCAGUCUUGUUUCCCAGGCUGGAGUGCAAUGGCACGAUUUCAGCUCUCUGCAACCUCUGUCCCCCGAGUUCAAGCAAUUCUCCUGCCUCAGCUUCCCGAGUAGCUGGGAUUACAGGUGCCCACCACCACGCCUGGCUAAUUUUUUGUAUUUUUAGUAGAGAUGGGGUUACACCAUGUUGGCCAGGCUGGUCUCAAACUCCAGACCUCAGGUGAUCCACCCGCCUUGGCCUCCCAAAGUGCUGGGAUUACAGGCGUGAGCCACCGUGCCCAGCCAAAAAAAACCCUCAGUUGCUAAUUAGCUGAUCUUAAAAGUGGGACAUGAUCCAGAUGGACACAGUGUAAUCACAUAAAUCCUUAAACGUGGAAGAGGGAGGCAGAAGAGGAUAUCAGAGUGGCGCCAUCUGGAAAGAACUCAACCACUGUUGCUGUGUUCGAACAUGAAGGAAGGGACCAAGAACCAAGGAAUGUGGGCAGCCUCUAGAUGCUGAGAAAGGUGAGGAAAUGGAGUCUCUCCUAGGGCUUCCAGAAAGAACACGGUCCUGCCGACCUCUUUAUUUCAGUCCAGUAAGACCUGUGUUGGGCUUCCAAUCUUCAGCAUUAAUAAAUUUGUGCUUUUUCAAUAAUAAAUUGGUGCUUUUUCA